AUUAUAGCUCUCCUGCAAUGUGGACAGUGAGUGGUGUUAAAAGAGACAGAACAAAAUCGAUUGCUUGGAGCAUAUUAUUCGGCACACAGAGACAGCUGCUGUUUCUCCCCAAUGCGCUCCCAGUAGUUCUCAGUGACAACUCCGUUCUCACCAACCUUGUACCCGGUUCCCAUCCUGUAACGAUGUCUGUGCACGUUUCUGGCCAUUGUUACGGUCUGCACCACAAAGGGUACCCAAGAGAGGGUUCCAUCCAUUAUCACAUCUCUUCCCUCGUUGAGAGCUGUCACUAGUAGCGAUGAUGCUGCAUCUGUUGAUGACUGGUGAACCUGUUCCCAUCCCACCGUUUUCUAUGUCAGCCUUUCACGAAGCAUAUCGACGUGGCCUCUAGAACUCAGGGCCCUGUAGAUCACAUCGGAUUCUUUGAAGGCAUCAGCUUCGAUCACGACUGCAUCUGCUCCUG